CGCGCUACAUUUGUAAAAUAUCAGGCCAAUACAGUUGAAUAUGUCUAAAAUACAGUUGAAUAUGUCUAAAAUACAGUUGAAUAUGUCUAAAGUGGGAAUAUGAGACGUCACGACCCGGCGCUAUCCUAACAAAGUCAGAAGAGCAAGAGGAUUCGUUUAUUUGGACCGACGGCUCAGUUGUGGAUUUCACCGACUGGGAAAACAACCAACCUAACAACAAUGGAAUCCAGAACUGUGUAAACAUCAACUUCAGAGGAGAUGAUCAGUGGAAUGAUAUCCAAUGCACGAUGUUAAGAACUUAUGUCUGUGCCAUGGAUCUGAAACCUCACCAUUAAGAUCCCCCAUGAUAUCUUCUAGUGUUUUCCACUGUCUGGGUUAGACCGCUAAAACAACUUCUUUACGC